rnacentral:rRNA from 1 species
GCUUAACCGGAGAAGUGCAUCGGAAACUGGGAAACUUGAGUGCAGAAGAGGACAGUGGAACUCCAUGUGUAGCGGUGAAAUGCGUAGAUAUAUGGAAGAACACCAGUGGCGAAGGCGGCUGUCUGGUCUGUAACUGACGCUGAGGCUCGAAAGUAUGGGUAGCAAACAGGAUUAGAUACCCUGGUAGUCCAUACCGUAAACGAUGAAUGCUAAGUGUUGGAGGGUUUCCGCCCUUCAGUGCCGCAGCUAACGCAUUAAGCACUCCGCCUGGGGAGUACGACCGCAAGGUUGAAACUCAAAGGAAUUGACGGGGGCCCGCACAAGCGGUGGAGCAUGUGGUUUAAUUCGAAGCUACGCGAAGAACCUUACCAGGUCUUGACAUCUUCUGUCAAUCUUAGAGAUAAGACGUUCCCUUCGGGGACAGAAUGACAGGUGGUGCAUGGUUGUCGUCAGCUCGUGUCGUGAGAUGUUGGGUUAAGUCCCGCAACGAGCGCAACCCUUAUUAUCAGUCGCCAGCAUUCAGUUGGGCACUCUGGUGAGACUGCCGGUGACAAACCGGAGGAAGGUGGGGAUGACGUCAAAUCAUCAUGCCCCUUAUGACCUGGGCUACACACGUGCUACAAUGGACGGUACAACG